ACAGCCACAUCACAUUGAAACACUGGUUUUCAUAUGAUCACCAAAGUUAAGCAACAUCACGCCUGUUCAGUACCUAGAUGGGUGACUGCUUGGGAAUACCAGGUGCA